rnacentral:pre_miRNA from 13 species
AAGAAUGUGCCGGUUUGGCAGUGCUUUGCUAGCUGGCUGUUCAAUAAAUGAUUCCAGCAGCUGGUUGCACGCCCCACUGUCACAAUCCAA